rnacentral:rRNA from 1 species
UACGGAGGGGGCUAGCGUUGCUCGGAAUCACUGGGCGUAAAGCGCGUGUAGGCGGGCCGGAAAGUCGGGCGUGAAAUCCCUGGGCUCAACCCAGGAACUGCACUCGAAACUUCCGGUCUAGAGUGGUGGAGAGGGAAGUGGAAUUCCUGGUGUAGAGGUGAAAUUCGUAGAUAUCAGGAGGAACACCAGUGGCGAAGGCGGCUUCCUGGACACCAACUGACGCUGAGACGCGAAAGCGUGGGGAGCGAACAGG